rnacentral:rRNA from 1 species
AUCGAUAAUCCACGUUAANUUUCACUUUAAUUUAAAAUUUAUAUACCACCAUCUUAAGAAUCAAUUUAAAAUAUCUCUCUAAAAAAUUAAUAAAAAGUUAGGUCAAGGUAUAAUAGACAUUAAAGAAUUAGAUGAAUUACACUAAAUUCUAUUUCAAGAUUAUACAUAAAAAUAUUUAUAUAAAUAAGAAUUUAAAAGUAAUAUUUAAAUAAUAAUAUAAUAUGAUAUAGAUAAUAAAUGUGCACACAUCGCCC